CCAGCAGCUGCGGUAAUUCCAGCUCCAAUAGCGUAUAUUAAUGCUGUUGCAGUUGAAACGCUCGUAGUUGGACUUCUGGGUGAGUCGCUUGGUCGGCUUCGGCUGAACCUUGAGGCUUGCCCUUUUGUCCAAGGAAGACUCAGCAAUGGGUCUGACUUGGGCCAGUUACUUUGAGAAAAUUAGGGUGUUCAAAGCAGGCCAGUGCCUUGAAUACGUUAGCAUGGAAUAACGGAAUAGGACUUUGGUUCUAUUUUGUUGGUGUCUAGGACCGAAGUAAUGAUUAAUAGGGACAGUUGGGGGCAUUCAUAUUUAAUUGUCAGAGGUGAAAUUCUUGGAUUUAUUAAAGAUGA
rnacentral:rRNA from 1 species